rnacentral:rRNA from 1 species
GAAUGCUGACAUAAGUAACGAUAAAGCGGGUGAAAAGCCCGCUCGCCGGAAGACCAAGGGUUCCUGUCCAACGUUAAUCGGGGCAGGGUGAGUCGACCCCUAAGGCGAGGCCGAAAGGCGUAGUCGAUGGGAAACGGGUUAAUAUUCCCGUACUUGGUGUUACUGCGAAGGGGGGACGGAGAAGGCUAUGUUGGCCGGGCGACGGUUGUCCCGGUUUAAGCGUGUAGGUGUGUGUUCCAGGUAAAUCCGGUUCACUUUAACACUGAGGCGUGACGACGAGGCACUACGGUGCUGAAGCAACAAAUGCCCUGCUUCCAGGAAAAGCCUCUAAGCAUCAGGUAACAUCAAAUCGUACCCCAAACCGACACAGGUGGUCAGGUAGAGAAUACCAAGGCGCUUGAGAGAACUCGGGUGAAGGAACUAGGCAAAAUGGUGCCGUAACUUCGGGAGAAGGCACGCUGACACGUAGGUGAAGUGAUUUACUCAUGGAGCUGAAGUCAGUCGAAGAUACCAGCUGGCUGCAACUGUUUAUUAAAAACACAGCACUGUGCAAACACGAAAGUGGACGUAUACGGUGUGACGCCUGCCCGGUGCCGGAAGGUUAAUUGAUGGGGUCAGCGCAAGCGAAGCUCCUGAUCGAAGCCCCGGUAAACGGCGGCCGUAACUAUAACGGUCCUAAGGUAGCGAAAUUCCUUGUCGGGUAAGUUCCGACCUGCACGAAUGGCGUAAUGAUGGCCAGGCUGUCUCCACCCGAGACUCAGUGAAAUUGAACUCGCUGUGAAGAUGCAGUGUACCCGCGGCAAGACGGAAAGACCCCGUGAACCUUUACUAUAGCUUGACACUGAACAUUGAGCCUUGAUGUGUAGGAUAGGUGGGAGGCUUUGAAGUGUGGACGCCAGUCUGCAUGGAGCCGACCUUGAAAUACCACCCUUUAAUGUUUGAUGUUCUAACGUGGACCCGUUACCCGGGUUGCGGACAGUGUCUGGUGGGUAGUUUGACUGGGGCGGUCUCCUCCUAAAGAGUAACGGAGGAGCACGAAGGUUGGCUAAUCCUGGUCGGACAUCAGGAGGUUAGUGCAAUGGCAUAAGCCAGCUUGACUGCGAGCGUGACGGCGCGAGCAGGUGCGAAAGCAGGUCAUAGUGAUCCGGUGGUUCUGAAUGGAAGGGCCAUCGCUCAACGGAUAAAAGGUACUCCGGGGAUAACAGGCUGAUACCGCCCAAGAGUUCAUAUCGACGGCGGUGUUUGGCACCUCGAUGUCGGCUCAUCACAUCCUGGGGCUGAAGUAGGUCCCAAGGGUAUGGCUGUUCGCCAUUUAAAGUGGUACGCGAGCUGGGUUUAGAACGUCGUGAGACAGUUCGGUCCCUAUCUGCCGUGGGCGCUGGAGAACUGAGGGGGGCUGCUCCUAGUACGAGAGGACCGGAGUGGACGCAUCACUGGUGUUCGGGUUGUCAUGCCAAUGGCACUGCCCGGUAGCUAAAUGCGGAAGAGAUAAGUGCUGAAAGCAUCUAAGCACGAAACUUGCCCCGAGAUGAGUUCUCCCUGAGACUUAAAGUCUCCUGAAGGAACGUUGAAGACGACGACGUUGAUAGGCCGGGUGUGUAAGCGCAGCGAUGCGUUGAGCUAACCGGUACUAAUGAACCGUGAGGCUUAACCUUACAACGC